CCCCACGCACCCCUCUGGGGCAGCGAGUGUUUAACCUUCUAGUUGUGGGGGUUUCGGCCCCCUUCCACCCAGCUGGAUCGCACGAGCGAGCCCGGGGUUUCUCUUCGUGCCCCAUCUCACUCUGCGGUGUUGUGGAAGGGUGGGCUCGCACCUUUCUGGAGCAGAAACUCCAGAUCAAGAGAAAAGGAGAGCCUGGUAUCCACUUUUCCGAGUUAGACCCCCCCUCCAGCCCGCCAGAGAGACGCGUUAUGGCAAUUCACGCAAUCGCCCUGACUGCAAUGGGAGCGCGGGGCGGCUUUUGGGCACCCGCAGCCGCCGGUGCCACCGAAGUUGCCCCCGGUGGGAGCACACGGUAAGGCCACCGGACCCCCGGAGGACAGGGCUGCGGGCUCCAGGCGCCUCCCCGCUCCCCGCAGCGCCCGCCGGGGCCGGGACAACCCGCCGCCGGUGUCCUCGGCGCGGUCACCGCCACAGCGCGCCACACCGGGAGGGACCGCGCAGCGCCCGGCCUUCAAACGGAGGCGACAGCCCGGCUCCGGGGGCGGAAACUCUGUGGCAGACAGUCUUCUGUACUUUAAAAACCUGCGGAAGAAGCCGCCCUGUGAAGCAGCAGCUGAAGGUGGAAGGCUGAAAAGAGCCAAGGCGAGACUGAUGCAAACCGAGAUCGACCAUCACUGUAGCACCCGAGAUGCCUG